AGAGUUUGAUCAUGGCUCAGAAUCAACGCUGGCGGCGUGCCUAACACAUGCAAGUCGAACGAGAAAGUGGAGCAAUCCAUGAGUAAAGUGGCGACCGGGUGAGUAACACGUGACUAACCUACCUCCGAGUGGGGAAUAACUCCGGGAAACCGGGGCUAAUACCGCAUAACAUCGCAAGAUCAAAGCAGCAAUGCGCUUGGAGAGGGGGUCGCGGCUGAUUAGCUAGUUGGCGGGGUAACGGCCCACCAAGGCGAAGAUCGGUAUCCGGCCUGAGAGGGCGCACGGACACACUGGAACUGAAACACGGUCCAGACUCCUACGGGAGGCAGCAGUGGGGAAUUUUGCGCAAUGGGGGAAACCCUGACGCAGCAACGCCGCGUGGAGGAUGAAGUCCCUUGGGACGUAAACUCCUUUCGACCAAGACGAUAAUGACGGUACUGGUGGAAGAAGCACCGGCUAACUCUGUGCCAGCAGCCGCGGUAAUACAGAGGGUGCGAGCGUUGUUCGGAAUUAUUGGGCGUAAAGGGCGCGUAGGCGGUGCCACAAGUCACCUGUGAAAUCCCCGGGCUUAACUCGGGGCCUGCAGGCGAAACUGUGGUGCUGGAGUAUGGGAGAGGUGCGUGGAAUUCCCGGUGUAGCGGUGAAAUGCGUAGAUAUCGGGAGGAACACCUGUGGCGAAAGCGGCGCACUGGACCAUAACUGACGCUGAGGCGCGAAAGCUAGGGGAGCAAACAGGAUUAGAUACCCUGGUAGUCCUAGCCCUAAACUAUGAUCGCUUGGUGUGACAGGUACCCAAUCCUGUCGUGCCGGAGCUAACGCGUUAAGCGAUCCGCCUGGGGAGUACGGUCGCAAGGCUGAAACUCAAAGGAUUUGACGGGGGCCCGCACAAGCGGUGGAGCAUGUGGUUCAAUUCGACGCAACGCGAAGAACCUUACCUGGGCUCGAAGCGUAGUGGACCGAGGUAGAAU
rnacentral:rRNA from 1 species